GCUCUUUCUCCAUUGUCGGUAUUGAAUUAAAAUCCUCUCUCACCGCACACUUUCCUUUCUAUCUCCUGCUUCAAAUAAAACCCUAGAUGUAAUUCUAUAUUUUAGUUUCUUGAUUGUUGAUAAACCUCUCAGUCAAUCCUCUCAUUUCCUACACUAAAUUAUCAUCUGAGAUAUGAGGUCUGAAACCCUAACGAUUGGAUUAUUAACAAUCGGAUUAUUGUAGAGAACGUGGUGGUUGUAUGUAUUUUUGCAAACCAAAUGAUCUAAAUCUGUCCCGUUAUUAUCCUUUGGCGAUUAGUCUUCCAAGUUUUCUCAUCAGUCGUGUUUUGCUGGGACUUUUUCUUCAUGGAUGGGUACAUUGCUUUUCCUGUCUCAUCUAUCGGAACAAAGAUCCCGCCUGUUACCGUCUUUCUCCAUCUCUUUACCAAAACCCUACCUCUGAAUCUAAAGGAAUCAAGCAACAUCAGGUUCAGGUUCAGAGAUGAAAGAAUUUCUUUCACAUUGUGCUUGAAUUGGAGGAAAAAGGAAGUUGAUGAACCAUUGUAUAUUAUGUGAAAAUUGUUCCACAUUCAAGGUUAUGGUGUAUUCUGUGAAAAGUGUUUCAUAUACAAGAUCAUGUUUUUGGAUGUUCAAUUCGAGUUCAAAACCGACAACUUAAGAGAUACUCAUUAGGCAGAUGGUACAUGUGUAAAUGUAUAGACAUUGUUUCAUUUCCUUUUUGCAUCGGAUUGAAUUAUACUUAUUAGUUUAUGGCUUUUAUAUGUUCUGAUUGCUUUCGAUAGAAUGGAGGUAACAUUUACUCAAUUUGUUUUUUUGUUUUUGUUUAAUAGGGUGGUUAAUUAGUGCUUAAACUUAAGUGAUUAAAUGAAGGUGAUAUUUAAUUUGAAUUUUUUUAGGUCCCGGUUCUUAUUAGAAAGGAAAUGAUUGAACGAAUCCCUUAUUUUUAUUUGCGUUUUUUUUUCAAAUAAAUAACCUUAUGUUUCAACCUGUGACUCCUUGCAGUACUCCAAGCUCUUUUGCGCCAGCUAGCUAUUUAUGAAGAUCUUUUAAAGUAUCAAAUUUGGUAUCCUAAUAGAAUUUUAGUUCUGCAUUUGUGUUAACUGGGUGAAAGAUUCAUAAAUUCGAUUGAUGUUAAUCUCUUUAUGUUACAUUAGAGGUGGCAAAACGGGUGGGUCGGGUGGUAUGUAGGGCCACAACAUGUCAAAAGGGUUAUUUUGGUUCGGGUUAAUAUGGGUUUGGGUCAGAAUGGGUUUUGACUGAUUUGGUGCGGCUUAGUAAGGGUUUUGAAAGAAUUAUGCUCUAAAUAACAUAUAUUGUGAAUCACAUUAGAAGCUGCACCUAAUUCCAUCUAAUUAGUCCAAUCCAAAAAAAAAUAUGAAGAUGAGUGAAGAACAUUCUAAAUCUCUGUGAUGAUUAGGUAGUCUUUUGGUUUGCAAAUUGAUAUAGUUACUACAAAUACUGAUGAUUUUCGUGUUUGGAAGGGUUAGGUUGAGUCUAACCUAAGGCAGCUGACAUUGAUGACUGAACGAGACACGAUGGGAAAGUUGCAGUGCCAUUAUAUGAGACAAAGUUGUGACAUGACAUGGUUAUAUCAUACCAAGAUGGAACCUUUCUAUUGUUCUCUUUUACUUCACAAAUAAUGUGUUUUUGGUUACUCAAAAUCCAGAUUUGAGAAUGUGUUGGAAGGGUAAAAAAAGCAUGCCAAUAAAUUGCUUAAGAAACAAGUGUUUAGUGGAUCAAAUAUAUGCUUUAGCAGGAUAGGAGUUAGCAAGUCAACAGGAAAGAAAAGAGGGAGCCAAAGUGGUGAUGCUUCACACUGGCAGUACAUUUGGCAUGUUCGGCUUAGCUCAGCGGUACAAGUCUUACCUCUAAAAUUGUGUUCCUCAUACAGGUCUGUCACAUUGACAACACUUAUUCGCUUUUUAAUGGACAUGUUAUAACACACAACUAUGCUACACAUUAGUUAAUGUGUGUCUUUCUUUAAAUAUAAUAUAGAGUAAAACUGUCACAUAGACUUGGUUUGAACAUUUGGGCCUCAAAAAAACUUUGUAUAGUUAAAAGGCAAUCUUUAAUGUAGAUUUCAUUUCCCUUUCUCAAUGCUGAUGACAAUAUCCAUAUAAUAACUAUAGGCAGUAAGAUGAGUGGGUUGGGUAACCGGUCGAACCAUGUGAUCUACUAAAAUUUAUUUUUUGGUGAAUUUCUUAAAAUACUUUUAUAAUGUUAUAUAUGAGUUCGAACACUUAUUUAUACAAUAGAAAUCCAAUUUUUUGAAUAAAACUAUCGAGUAAAAAUGAAAGUAGUGGGGGUGAGUUGUUGGUGAAUUGAGCCUCAAACGACGAAUGGGUAAAAAAGGAAUGAGUUAUGAUAACCAAAAAGUGUCUAUAAGUAGCGUAUGAUACCUCUUACUAGCUUACUACACACCAAUCUGCAAAACCCUACACCUAAGUGAGUUAUGGUACGCGGGUCAUACGUUGACUAAGGGAUUUAAGCAAUUUGGUUAUUGGGUUUGACGAUUGUUACUUUGAUCCGUUUCACUUUUUUCUCAUCUGGUUAACUAUUCUUUUUUGGUUUCUGUUUGUUGAUUACUAUUUCGUUGGUUAAGACUUUGCAGUCUUAGUAUAAGCUAAUUUGAAUGCUAACGCAAAAAUGAAAAAGGGACUAUUGUUGACUGUAACGGUUUAGUUGGGUACUUUAAACCGAAGCCUCAAGUUGACCUUCAUGCAGUUGUUAAAGAUACGAGUGUCAAGCCCUUGGUUGUAUCUGGCAUGUUAAAAUGGUUUUGUAACAAACAAGAGGAUGGUGUAGCAAUACACGAAGUUAGAGCAUUCACAAGCAGCUGGUAAGAUGGGAUACCUUAUCUUGAUGCACUUAAACUUCUUCAAUUCGAGUUUAUUGCACUCAAGGCCUACCUAGAGACAGCCUGCAGUUCCUUGUGUAAAGAGGUAAGGACAUUAGAGGAAGAAGCACAUUAUUAAGCUCUGGAUAAGUUGACUACAAAGGUUAAGGAAUGUCAGGUUGAUACUGCUGCAGUCAAUUAUCUCUUCGAACAUGAGCAAUUUGUAAACGGAAGUUCAUGAUCACAGAUGAUUCUAUCUAAUUAGCCAAAUCCAGAAGCAAAAUAGAUGUUUGUGUGGAGGAUGAAGAACUAAAUUCUUGAACUGAAAGGGGGUCCAACCGCUCUCAAUGCUCACCUUGUGAAUGUCAACGAAUGGACCCUGAGUAGUAGUUUUAGCGUAUGACAUGGCGAACAUGGAAGAAUCGGCGAGUGAGUGACUGACUCCUUUAUUUGCCUCCCUUCUCAAGUCCGACAUUCGGGUUUUCUAUUCAGAUGAUCAAACCAAAAGUUGGAAGCAUUAAAAUCUGGUUAGCGAAGUGUUUUACGUGAUUUUCAAAGCUGCUGCAGACGAUGACUUAGAACCAAUUGUUGAAAGUGCUUUUGAGAAUGUAGAACAUGUUAUAUUGGAACACUUUGAUCAAGUUGUUGGUGACUGUUUUAUGGACUGUGUUAAUUGUCUAAUUGGUUUUGCUAACAAUAAAACUUCUCACCGCGUCAGCUUAAACGCAAUUGCCCUUCUUCGCAUUUGCGAGGACCGACUUGCAAAGGGCCUUGUGCCUGGUGGCAGCGUGAAGCCCAUUGAUGACAAUGCAGAUGCAACUGUCGAUAUUACUAAGCUUUAUUGGUUCCCAAUGCUGGCUGGUUUAUCUGAUCUGACAUCUGAUCCAUGACCCGAAGUCAGCAACUGUGCUCUAGAUAUAUAGUGAAUUUUGUUAGUUUAGGUUUAUCAAGGGUUUCAUGUGUUAUUGUUGUUACUAGCUUUGUUUCUUCCGGUAGUCAUUAGCUUAUUUGACGACAUAGAUUCAUAAACUGAAUAUUCAUUUGUUAAUUCAUCUUUUGGAGCAACCUGAGCAUUCAUUUGUUGAUCCGUCAUUAGGGUGGUGAUGUUUAGAUCUGCGUUGUACCAAGAACCAGACAUGGGAUAUAUGGCUAUUUGGAUGUGUAAUAGGUAGAAAGAAAUGGUUAAUGAAGCUGACAAGUUCGCAAAAGAAGAGAAGGAAAAAAGAGACGCCAUUGACACGCAAAACCAAACAGAGAAACAAAUAAAUGGACUAGGAGACAAAGUUCCUGCAUAUGUGAAAGAAAAGCUGGAGGCCAAACUCCGUGAGCUUGGGGCGGCCAUAUCUUGCAGGUCAACAUAAACCAUAAAAUCAAGGAAUUUGGCUUGAGUUGUAGCCAUGUAAGUUUAAUAAAUUUUGGCCUUAAUGAGUUUUUACACUAUAAUUUGUUUAACCAAGUGAUAUUAAGCCUAUAAUAAUUGAUUUUGUUAUGUUUCAUGUUGACAUACAUGUGUGUUAUUUGUAGUGGAGAUGGAUAAUAAUCAAUUGGGUGUAGACGGUCUGUAUGUAUAAUAAAAUACCCUCUUCAAAAAGGUAUCUUGCUAUUCUUUGUGACCGAUUGGAUAAUCAAUAGGGUGUAGACGGUCCGCUACUUCAUUUGGUUUGACCAUUUUUUUGCUUUUUAAAAAGGUAUCUUGCUAUUCUUUGUGACCGAUUGGAUAAUAAAAUACCCACUUCAAAAUUACAACUUUUAAUUCAUUUAAAGAACACCUUAUUAGUUAAAUUGUUAUGUAAACCAAAUUAAUACCUUACUCAUUUCUAAACAAAGUAUACAUUCUAAAUCCCUAGCUGAAAUCAUUUAUAUAUUAUAAGGAAGGGUAUUUGGUGCAGGGUGUGAUCGUCUAAGUAGUUAAUGCAGCAAAAUAUCGGAUAUCGGUUAAGGACCGAUAUUUGAGAUAUCGGUUAUCACGGUUGGAUAUCUGUGGGACAUCGGUAAUUUU